rnacentral:rRNA from 1 species
AUUGAACGCUGGCGGCAGGCCUAACACAUGCAAGUCGAGCGAGCGGCGGACGGGUGAGGAAUGUAUGGGGACUGCCCGAUAGAGGGGGAUAACUACUGGAAACGGUAGCUAAUACCGCAUACUAUCGGAUAACCCAUAUGGGAUUAGCUAGUAGGUGGGGUAAUGGCUCACCUAGGCGACGAUCCCGAGCUGGUCUGAGAGGAUGAUCAGCCACACGGCGACUGAGACACGGCCCAGACUCCUACGGAGGCAGCAGUGGUGAAUAUUGCACAAGGGGCGCAAGCCUGAUGCAGCCAUGCCGCGUGUAUGAAGAAGGCCCUAGGGUUGUAAAGUACUUUCAGUCGGGAGGCGUUACCGACAGAAGAAGCACCGGCUAACUCCGUGCCAGCAGCCGCGGUAAUAC